rnacentral:rRNA from 1 species
UACGAAGGGGGCUAGCGUUGCUCGGAAUCACUGGGCGUAAAGGGUGCGUAGGCGGGUCUUUAAGUCAGGGGUGAAAUCCUGGAGCUCAACGUCCAGAACUGCCUUUGAUACUGAAGAUCUUGAGUUCGGGAGAGGUGAGUGGAACUGCGAGUGUAGAGGUGAAAUUCGUAGAUAUUCGCAAGAACACCAGUGGCGAAGGCGGCUCACCUGGCCCGAUACUGACGCUGAGGCACGAAAGCGUGGGGAGCAAACAGG